UGAAUACGAGAUGCUACGGCGUCGAAGCAGUGUAUGUCAGACUUCCAAGAAAAGCUCGCAAUGUCAUAAAUAAAGAAUGCCUGUACCAUAACCGACACAGGUGGGUAGGUAGAGUAUACUAAGGGGCGCGAGAUAACUCUCUCUAAGGAACUCGGCAAAAUAACUCCGUAACUUCGGGAGAAGGAGUGCCUUCUUUAAGAAGGUUGCAAUAACAAGAUCCAUCAACUGUUUAUCAAAAACACAGGUCUCCGCUAAGUCGUAAGACGAUGUAUGGGGGCUGACGCCUGCCCAGUGCCAGAAGGUUAAAGAAGUUGGUUAGCUUUUGCGAAGCUGAUGACUGAAGCCCUGGUGAACGGCGGCCGUAACUAUAACGGUCCUAAGGUAGCGAAAUUCCUUGUCGGGUAAGUUCCGACCCGCACGAAAGGCGUAAUGAUUUGGAUACUGUCUCGGAGAGGGACUCGGUGAAAUAGACUUGUCUGUGAAGAUGCGGACUACCUGCACCAGGACAGAAAGACCCUAUGAAGCUUUACUGUAACUUGAAAUUGAAAUUGGACUUUAUUUGCGCAGUAUAGGUGGAAGGCGUUGAAAGUAAUCUUGCGGGAUUAGUGGAGCCAUCAGUGAGAUACCACUCCUAUAAUGUUAGAUUUCUAACUUUGGAUCAUGAUCUGGUCAAAGAACAGUUUCAGGCGGGCAGUCUGACUGGGGCGGUCGCCUCCCAAAUGGUAACGGAGGCGUACAAAGGUUUCCUCUGAACGGGUAGAAAUCGUAUCUAGAGUGUAAAGGCAUAAGGAAGCUUGACUGUGAGACCUACAAGUCGAGCAGGGACGAAAGUCGGUCUUAGUGAUCUGACGGUGCUGAGUGGAAAGGCCGUCACUCAACGGAUAAAAGUUACUCUAGGAUAACAGGCUGAUCUCCCCCAAGAGUUCACAUCGACGGGGAGGUUUGGCACCUCGAUGUCGGCUCAUCGCAUCCUGGGGCGGUAGUACGUCCCAAGGGUUGGGCUGUUCGCCCAUGAAAGCGGUACGCGAGCUGGGUUCAGAACGUCGUGAGACAGUUCGGUCCAUAUCCGGUGUAGGCGUUAGAAUAUUGAGAGGAGCCUUCUUUAGUACGAGAGGACCGAGAAGGACAUACCUCUGGUGUACCAGUUAUCGUGCCAACGGUAAACGCUGGGUAGCUAUGUAUGGAGAGGAUAACCGCUGAAAGCAUCUAAGUGGGAAGCCCACCUCAAGAUGAGUAUUCUC
rnacentral:rRNA from 1 species